rnacentral:lncRNA from 1 species
CCAUGUUAUUAGAUUAGAUUUAGUUCAAAUAAAUUAAGUGAUUUUUCUUCAAUUACAAUGAUCAUAGAUGAAGAAAUGUAAUGGCGUUUGGAGGCGGGUUUGUGAAGAAGAAUCGAAAGCGCAGUAGCUAAAGCAGAUUUCGAACCGAAAAUGACUUUAACUACAGACCCAAUCGAAGCACAAAAACCGUACUAUGAUGCCAUUUCUCUGUAAAGGGCUGGAAUUGCAGGGCACCCUGCAGAAAACCUGCAGGUAUUUCAGAGCCACGAACAAAAAUGUUUCAAGCUCUCCCCAUUUGCAACAACCCCUUUUUCAUUUUGAAACAAAUUGAUUCAAAAUUCUUUUGAUUCAAAUUUGAAAUUACAAUAGAAAGGGAAAACUCACCGUGGUUGGGAAAUGCAUCCCAUGACAGCCGGCGCGGCGGCGGCUAGUGAUGGUUCAAAUGUUGUUAGGAGUGAGUAACAUUAGAGCCC